rnacentral:rRNA from 1 species
UACGGGGGGAGCAAGCGUUGUUCGGAUUUACUGGGCGUAAAGGGCGCGUAGGCGGCGCAACAAGUCACUUGUGAAAUCUCCGGGCUUAACCCGGAGCGGCCAAGUGAUACUGUCGUGCUAGAGUGCGGAAGGGGCUACUGGAAUUCUCGGUGUAGCGGUGAAAUGCGUAGAUAUCGAGAGGAACACCUGCGGCGAAGGCAGGUAGCUGGGCCGACACUGACGCUGAGGCGCGAAAGCCAGGGGAGCGAACGGG